AUGUCGGACAGCCGCGUGUCGGAGAACAGGGCCUGGUCACAGGUUGUUCUGACCCAGUCGGGUCCAGAACUGAAGAAGCCCGGAGAAUCCACUCGGCUGAAAUGCGCCGUGAGCGGGUUCGCUGUCUCCGGCGAUUACAUGGCUUGGGUCAGACAGGAGCCGGGAAAGGGGCUGGAGUGGCUGGUCAGCUACUGGAAACCAGGGCAGAGCGAUUAUUAUUCUCCCACCAUCAAGGGGCGAUUCACAGCCUCCAAGGACAGCUCCAAUUUCUACCUGCAAAUGAACAGCCUGAAAGCCGAGGACACUGCCGUGUAUUACUGCGCCAGAGACACA